rnacentral:rRNA from 1 species
GACGAACGCUGGCGGCGUGCUUAACACAUGCAAGUCGAACGGAAAGGCCCUGCUUUUGUGGGGUGCUCGAGUGGCGAACGGGUGAGUAACACGUGAGUAACCUGCCCUUGACUUUGGGAUAACUCCAGGAAACUGGGGCUAAUACCGGAUAGGAGCUCCUGCUGCGUGGUGGGGGUUGGAAAGUUUCGGCGGUUGGGGAUGGACUCGCGGCUUAUCAGCUUGUUGGUGGGGUAGUGGCUUACCAAGGCUGUGACGGGUAGCCGGCCUGAGAGGGUGACCGGCCACAUUGGGACUGAGAUACGGCCCAGACUCCUACGGGAGGCAGCAGUGGGGAAUAUUGCACAAUGGGCGGAAGCCUGAUGCAGCAACGCCGCGUGCGGGAUGACGGCCUUCGGGUUGUAAACCGCUUUCGCCUGGGACGAAGCGUUAGUGACGGUAAUGGGUAAAGAAGCACCGGCUAACUACGUG